CCUAUAGUGUAACAUUAUUUGUCUGUAUUUAAAAUGGAGAAGCAUACAAUUUGCAUAUAUACAAGUCAAUUAUGCACUGCGUAUUAUGAAAAAGCUUUCAUGUUUGAGUGUUUAGUUUGAUCAAUCCCUCCUCCUACAAAGUGCUCACUUCUCAGUUUCUGUCAUUACCAUGGCUAUCUCUCCUCCGCCGCCGCCUCCUUCACUUCACAACUUUUUGUUUUUUGCAGGAGAACUGGUAUUGCUGAAAAGGUGAUCACAAGUUUUAACAUCUGAUGAACAAGUUUAGGGAAAUUGUGCUUUUUUUGUAGCUGUGCACAUUUGCUUGCUGCAUGUUGUAAGAUUUAACACUUUGUAAUCAAGAAUCAAACAAGUUUAGUGUUGUUUUUAA